UUUUAGGAAAAAUAAAUAAGUAAAUGAAUGGAAAUUUUAUAGAAAGUUCUGAAGAAACAAAGUCGGUGGCGGCUGAAGGUGCAUCUCUGCAGUUGUGCGUUGCCAAAAUCCUGUUUUUUUGUGUUUAUAAGUAAUCACCUCCACAACUGAAUACGAUGAUUUCAAGUUCAGUUCCCAGACAGUGAGCUGGUGUCUGGAACUCUGUCGUUAUUCCUGCUACAAACUAUUAACGACGGAGUUACCAGUUGUAACGACUAAGUUUAAUGUCAAAAUGCACCAGAGAAAUAAAUUAAGAAGAACAAUAUUAAUUGCUUAUCAAAAUGGCCAUUUAUUAGGAUUGUUAUGACGUUACAAUACAGAAAAUAACUUUUU
rnacentral:lncRNA from 1 species